CAAUAGCGUAUAUUUAAGUUGUUGCAGUUAAAAAGCUCGUAGUUGGAUUUCGGUUGAGAACGGCCGGUCCGCCGUUUGGUGUGCACUGGCUGGUUUCAACUUCCUGUAGAGGACGCGCUCUGGCUUCACGGCUGGACGCGGAGUCUACGUGGUUACUUUGAAAAAAUUAGAGUGUUCAAAGCGGGCUUACGCUUGAAUAUUUCAGCAUGGAAUAACACUAUAGGACUCCUGUCCUAUUUCGUUGGUCUCGGGACGGGAGUAAUGAUUAAGAGGAACAGUUGGGGGCAUUCGUAUUUCAUUGUCAGAGGUGAAAUUCUUGGAUUUAUGAAAGACGAACUUCUGCGAAAGCAUUUGUCAAGGAUGUUUUCAUUAA
rnacentral:rRNA from 1 species